UACGUAGGGUGCAAGCGUUGUCCGGAAUUAUUGGGCGUAAAGAGCUCGUAGGCGGUUUGUCGCGUCGGCUGUGAAAACCUGGGGCUCAACCCCGGGCCUGCAGCCGAUACGGGCAAACUAGAAUUCGGUAGGGGAGACUGGAAUUCCUGGUGUAGCGGUGAAAUGCGCAGAUAUCAGGAUGAACACCGGUGGCGAAGGCGGGUCUCUGGGCCGAUAUUGACGCUGAGGAGCGAAAGCGUGGGGAGCGAACAGG
rnacentral:rRNA from 1 species